rnacentral:rRNA from 1 species
UACGGAGGGUGCUAGCGUUGUCCGGAAUCAUUGGGCGUAAAGCGCGCGUAGGCGGUCCGGUAAGUCCGCUGUGAAAGUCGGGGGCUCAACUCUCGGAUGCCGGUGGAUACUGUCGGGCUUGAGUACGGAAGAGGCGAGUGGAAUUCCUGGUGUAGCGGUGAAAUGCGCAGAUAUCAGGAGGAACACCAAUUGCGAAGGCAGCUCGCUGGGACGUUACUGACGCUGAGGCGCGAAAGCGUGGGGAGCAAACAGG